rnacentral:ncRNA from 1 species
UUUUUAAAAGUUUCAUCCUUUGAAGUUCAGUUGGAGCUGGAGCUGUAACCCAGUAGUAGCCCAGUGGUAGAACACUUGCCUAGCAUGUGUGAGACCCUGGGUCUGAUCACCAAAACGGAAAAAAACAGGGGCGGGCCUUGGUGACUCUUAACCUCUGGCCAAUCACACACCUCCUGGGGCAGUGACGACCCUUUGGAACGUCUGCCCUAUCAACUGUCGAUGGUAGUUGCCAUGCUGACCUUGGUGACCACAGGUGACAGGGAAUCAGGGUUCAAUUCCAGAGAGGGAGCCUGAGAAAUGGCUGCUAUAACCAAGGAAGGCAGCAGGUGCGUAAAUUACCUACUCCUGACCUGGGGAGGUAGUGACGAAAAAUAACAAUACAGGACUGUUUUGAGGCCCUGUGAUUGGAAUAAGUCUAUUUUAAUCCUUUAACAAGGAUCCAUUGGAGGGAAGUAUGGUGCCAGCAGCUGCAGUAAUUCCAGCUCCAAU